CAUGCGUAAAAAUAAAUCUUUUAAAAAUAUAAUACUCUAAAUAUAUCAAAGUUAUUAUACAGACAUCCUUUUAAAUCAUAACAGGUUAUUACCCACUGAUUUUCUUUUCUGAUGAACCUGAGUAGAAACAAAAGGAUUAAAAUACCUAAAUCUCCCACCAUCUUGAUUUCUUAUGACCUAAAAAUUGCAUCUGUUAAUUUAAGGAAAGGCAUUAUUUUCUAAAGUAGUGGUUCUCAGUCUUCCUAAUACUGUUACCCUUUAGUUCAGUUCCUCAUGUUGUGGUGACCCCCAGCCAUAAAAUUAUUUUCAAUGCUACUUCAUAACUGUAGUUUUGCUGUUAAAAAUUAUAAUAUAAAUAUUUGUGUUUUCUGAAGACCCCCCUCCCCAAAAGGGUUGCAACCCACAAGUUGAGAAUACUGAUCUGAGUGGAUAUGUAGUUGCUUCAAUUUAUUAAAUAAAAGCAUUGCUGUAGUAGAAUUAAAAACAAAUUCUGGGGUUGGGGAUUUGGCUCGGUGGUAGAGCGCUUGCCUAGCAAGCACAAGGCCCUGGGUUCGAUCCCCAGCUCCGAAAAAAAAAAAUUCUGGUAAAGUCAUCAUUUGCAAAAAAUUCUAAAUUUAAAAAAUGGGUGAUUUGUAAUAAUUAGAAGAAUUAUUAAAUGUACCUUAAAGCAUAAGGUUUGGGGCUUGUGUCAUGGUGCAGAUUUGACAGUCUGAAUUGAAUCCUUGAGUCCCACCAAGUCGCAGGAGAGAGUAGACGUCCAGCGUUGGCUCUCUGACUGCUGCACAUGCACAUGUGCUGACAGGUAGACACACACAGGACAUAAACUUUUCAGUGUGGAAACGAACCGUAAAGUUUACUUGGCAUAGUAUUAUUUCAUCAGGAUACAUCUAUUUAUUUUUGUAGGACACUAAAGGACUCAGCAAAAAGAGAAAGAUGUAUGAGGAUAAACCUUUGUCAUCUGAGUCAUUGUCAGAGUCAGACUGUGGAGAGGUGCAAGCGAAAAAGAAGAAAAGCGGUGAAGAGCGAGAGAGAACAACAGCAAGUAUCUUGUGUUUUUAUAGACAACAGCAGGCCCACUUGCUCCAAUGAAACAUUGACUCAGUGACGGGGAGAUAUGGUGUCUAUCACCCGUCUUACUGGAUAGGAGUUGGCUUAGGAAGGGAAGCAAGCAUCCCUAGGCCCCUUGCAGUAUCUUACUGUAAAAAAUAGUUCAGAGCUGGGCAGAGCCAUGCACAUCUUUAUUCCUAAGACUUGGGAGGCAGAGGGAGAGGCAGGUGAAUCUCUGUGAGUUCAAGACUAACCUGGUCUACAGAAUAAGUUCUAGGACAGGCAAGAGCUACACAGUGAGACCCUAUCUUGGGGGGUGGGGGGGAGAAAUAGACGUUCAGGGGGCUGAUGAAUUGGCUCAGAGUGUAUAGGAGCUUUCUGACAACCUAAGUUUGAUCUCUAAGAUACUAGUUGUCCUCUAACCUCCAUGUGUACUAUAGCACACAUAGACACGCAAAAUAAAUAAAGAUAGAAUUAGAAAAUGAUAUGAUUUAUAAAUUUAAAUACACCCUACAUAUACUCCAACUUUUAUCUGACUUUAAGUUUUAUUUUUCCCUGUCCGAGUGUUUGCCUGAG
rnacentral:lncRNA from 1 species